rnacentral:rRNA from 1 species
UGGCGAGCGUUGUCCGGAUUUACUGGGCGUAAAGGGUGCGUAGGCGGACUUUUAAGUGAGAUGUGAAAUACCCGGGCUUAACUUGGGUGCUGCAUUUCAAACUGGAAGUCUAGAGUGCAGGAGAGGAAAGUGGAAUUCCUAGUGUAGCGGUGAAAUGCGUAGAGAUUAGGAAGAACACCAGUGGCGAAGGCGACUUUCUGGACUGUAACUGACGCUGAGGCACGAAAGCAUGGGUAGCA